rnacentral:tRNA from 1 species
GGAGGGUUGGCCGAGCGGUUGAAGGCGGCGGUCUUGAAAACCGCUGUGGGCCGCGUGCCCACCGGGGGUUCGAAUCCCUCACCCUCCGCCA